UAGUUAUAAUUUGUUUGCAGUGAACAGCCUAGGUUAAGUAGACCUGGUACAUGUAUUCAAUCUAAUUGAGCCGCGUUCUGGAGCAAUUGGCUUUAUGCAUGUGUGUGAAAUGUCGUCCCAGAUUAGCUUUUGUGGUCCACACAUGCUUAUCUGGGACAACACUUUUGCCCAAGACUGGAUUUUCUUUUUCAAAAUACUUUCUUCGAACGAAAAAUCUCAUAAAACCAGAAAGUGUCUUCCCUGAUUAGCCUGUGCGGACCGUACAAGCUAAUCUGCGACAACACCUUAGGAACAUGCAUUAAACCCCAUUUUCCUAGAGCAAGGGUCAAUUGUAUUUAUUUCCUUUCAAAAUUUACAUGCCCUUUAUUUUAGGAUCAUACAGAUUCUAAAUGCCUAUUCAUUGUAGGCUGAAUAUUCAGGUAUAACCAAAAAGUGACAUAAGAUCUUUGUUAGACAGGGCCCUAAAUUCUAGCAUUUAAUGAGGUUAUGUGCUUUUCCACACUUAUUAUAUGUCUUUUAUAAGUAAAAGGUGAACACUAGCAACAAUAUAAUUUGCUACCAAAAAUGUUUUCCAUAUAUAUUACUUCUUUUACAUGAAAGAAGUUAACAUGUGUAAAAAAAGUUUUGCAAACAAAAUGAUGGGUAUUAAUUUCUUUGUGAUUUUAUGCAUUUAUUUUACACAAAUUAUAAAACCAUGAUGAAGUAUAUGUAAUUAACAAAUAUAAAUCAGUUUAUUUAUUGUUCAUCCAGGCAUAUACAUAUAACCAGACAGUAGUGCAAUCUCACAUGUAUAUGUAGGUUUUUAACUUAUAUUGCACCAGUGUAUAGAUUGUUUUAAAAACAAUUGUAUGCUCAUGUUAAAGUUGCAUAUGUCUAGUCAUAAGCAGUAUGUGUGGGAUACACUAGCAACAGGACCAGAGUGAUCAUUUUGUUUUCAGAUGAUCUUUAUUUAAUGUGUGUUUUAUCCUUAUAUUUAUUUAACCAGUAUGCCAUGUAAUACAUACAUUUCCUAAUAAAAUUUAAAAAAAAAGGUUA